GAUGAACGCUAGCGACAGGCUUAACACAUGCAAGUCGAGGGGCAGCGAGGGCGUAGCAAUACGCCUGUCGGCGACCGGCGCACUGGUGAGUAACACGUAUGCGACCUGCCCCCUACAGGGGUAUAACCCGUAGAAAUGCGGACUAAUCCCCCAUAGUCCUGGGUGCUGCAUGGCAUUCAGGGGAAAGGCCAGCCGGUAGGGGAUGGGCAUGCGGCGCAUUAGCUAGUUGGCGGGGCAACGGGCCCACCAAGGCGACGAUCAGUAGGGGUUCUGAGAGGAAGGUCCCCCCACAUUGGAACUGAGACACGGUCCAAACUCCUACGGGAGGCAGCAGUGAGGAAUAUUGGUCAAUGGGCGAGAGCCUGAACCAGCCAAGUAGCGUGCAGGAUGACGGCCCUAUGGGUUGUAAACUGCUUUUAUAAGGGAUAAAGUGAGAGUCGUGACUCUUUUUGCAUGUACCUUAUGAAUAAGGACCGGCUAAUUCCGUG
rnacentral:rRNA from 1 species